rnacentral:rRNA from 1 species
ACAUCCAGAGAAUUUAGCAGAGAUGCUUUAGUGCCUUCGGGAACUCUGAGACAGGUGCUGCAUGGCUGUCGUCAGCUCGUGUUGUGAAAUGUCGGGUUAAGUCCCGNAACGAGCGCAACCCUUAUCCUUUGUUGCCAGCACGUAAUGGUGGGAACUCAAAGGAGACUGCCGGUGAUAAACCGGAGGAAGGUGGGGAUGACGUCAAGUCAUCAUGGCCCUUACGAGUAGGGCUACACACGUGCUACAAUGGCGCAUACAAAGAGAAGCGACCUCGCGAGAGCAAGCGGACCUCAUAAAGUGCGUCGUAGUCCGGAUUGGAGUCUGCAACUCGACUCCAUGAAGUCGGAAUCGCUAGUAAUCGUAAAUCAGAAUGUUACGGUGAAUACGUUCCCGGGCCUUGUACACACCGCCCGUCACACCAUGGGAGUGGGUUGCAAAAGAAGUAGAUAGCUUAACCUUCGGGAGGGCGUUUACCACUUUGUGAUUCAUGACUGGGGUGAAGUCGUAACAAGGUAGGCGUAGUGCU